AAAUAAUAAAAAUUUAUAAAUUUUCGACAGUUAUAAUUACACGUUUAUUUCGUGGUCAUUCGUCGCGUAAAAUAGCGGACAGGAUAUUUUAUCGAGAAACGUGGAUCGAAAAUUAAUCAAGAAAAACAGUAAAUUUAAUUUUAGUCCAUUAAAAAUAUUAAUCGCGACAUUGAUUAUUAUAUACGGCAUUGUAUUAAAUCGUUAGAUUUAUCAAUUAACAAUAAUAAUCCAAAAAUUGAUAAAUUGUUAACCCAUUAUAUAUUCGAAAACUCGAUUUUGAUACAAUCGAUAAAGGUCGUACGUUUUCGUAGAUUUUCGUAACAGUCGAUAUAUAUAAAUACGAGAUAGGUCGCGCGAGACCAGUCAUUCUUAACGGAGCCUUCGUUACGCGUAGAUCGAAAUAUCGACACUAUUUUGAAUUUAUUGUUGAAUUUUUAUUAUACGAAGCAAUUCGUUCGUACAUUUCUUCAUCGAAAAAUAACGUUUAUCACAUUGAAAGAUUCUCGUUUGCGAUGCAUAAAAUUCGAGGCAUUAUUUUUAAUCGUUAAUUUCUGGUUAAUUUGUCAAAGAAAUCCAAUUUGCUCGUGUCAUUUUAAAACGAGAAGUACCAUCGAUCGAAAAUGAUUAUACGUCAAGAAUUAAGAGGAUAAUUGUACGUUCUUGAAUCCUCUUAAAAUUCAGUUUCUAAUUUAAAUUAGAUUCAUCAAUUGUUUCAAUCGUUGCCUCUUAAUUUAAUCCAUCGAUAAUAACAAUAUUAUAAUACUCAAAAGAUAUUAAAAAGAAAAAAAACCUGUAUCUCGAAAAUAAAUCUCGUAUCGAUUUACAAUCGAUAUAAAAAUUCAAAGUAUCACAAUCUUCUCUCUCUCUCUUCCUUACCGGUUGAAAAAUGCCAAUCAUUGAAGAACGAAGAUUCACGUUGCGCGUCUACGAUCGAAUAGAGCGUCGUUAAUACGAGAAAUAACAUGUCGAUAAAAAGAUGUUUGUCAUGGUUUCUUUGAUGAGAGAAGCGACACGCGCGGACGUGACUGACUGGCUGGCUCUUUGCGAAACUCACUUACAUAGGGUGUAAUUGAACUUUGCGCGAGGUGAUACAAGUGGCGCAGAUGUUUGAGACACGAAAUUCAAUUACAACUUUGUCCUUCGCGCGUUACACCCGGUUUGAUUGAAGAUGGGAAACGAGUCGUUGCAGCGGAGCGAUCGCUGUCGAUCGUACGCUCUUAAUCCAAAUCCGGGUAUUUCAGAUUUUGCGAAAUUCGAGGAAAAGUGUGACAAUUGAUUUUUACUCGUCGUUUUUUAUAAAUAAUAAUACGUAAAUAGGGUUUUAAUAUUCAUCGAAAAUAGUUAUUUAAUGAAAUUCGUUUGAAGAAAUAAUAUUAAAUUGGUGCGGUACGAGAAAAAAUAAUAAUAAUUUAUACAUGAAAGAAAAUUCACAAUCAGUGGAUAAAUGGUAAUUAGAAAUGGCGAAAAAAUAAUAAUAGAUGUGUGUAAUAUAAUUAUAUAAUGAUACUUUAUGUAUUUUAUUGCGCGUAGUAUUAUAAAGCUAUUAAAUGGAAAAUUCCUUUCUUUGAGAAAAAAAAAAAUCAGUUUUUUAUGUUUUGUACAAUCUUGUAGGUCAACUUUCAUUAUAGAUGUACAUCUCUAUAGAGUACAUUUCAAAGUUAUUCUUUGUCAAAUCUCGAAGCGUCUCGUGGUUGAAAAUUUUGAACGAUUAUGCAAUUUUAAAAAUUAUUAAUUGGUAUCAUCAUUGAACGAUUAGAACAAGAGAAAAGUAAAUAUUUUAAAUUAACAAAUAUUCAGGAUUUAAUGUUGUUUUCUAUUCCAGAAAAAAAUUCAGACAAAAUUGUCGAUCAAAAAAUUCCUUCGUCAAAUUCAAUAUCACGGCCACAAAUUUCAAGACGUUCGAAUUGAAAUUUGAAUUUCUUUAAUCAAAUAACGCACGAGAGAAUUUUUCCACCCGUAAGAAUUUCGAUUCUUUUUCACGAUGAUAUCUUUUUGGCGAGCAUCGCAAACGAAGACGACUGAACGUGGAAAAAGUGCAUGGACUCCCACGUAGCUCGCGGAGGGCCAUCUCUAAAGAGUUAAACGUAAAAAUAGAGGCGGACAGUGCACGUGUGCCACCCUCUCUUCGCCCCAGUUAUACCUCGCUCUUCAUCCUCUCUCGAGUACUCGCUUCUCUCGACUAUUCCCGUAUAUAUCCAGCCCGGGGAUAUCCUUGCUCCACGUUUUAUUCUUUUACGUUGUUAAAAAAAAAAAGAAAGAAAAGAAAAGGAAAAAUACACCGCGCCUUUUCUCAAACGAUAAAGAGUUUCAGUUUACUGGCUUCUCUUCGUUAUUAUGCAUCCGUUGUAUUUUAUACUCCAACUCUUAAUUAACCCUUUGUUUUACAAUUUAAUCGUGAGAGUAUAAUUUAAAAGAUUUUCAAUAAUUUUUUAAUCUUGUAAAAAUUUAUAUAUAAAUGUCUUCAAAAUUCAAAGAAAAUUCGAUAUCCAUUAAUAUCGUGGAGAACAAUUUUAAUCGUUACGUUUGAAUAUUUAAAAAAAAAUCGAAUAAUCCUCCUUCCAAAAUAAUUUCUUCGCAUUUAAUCGUUGUAAUAUUCCAUCUUAACAUCUCUUUCUAUAUAUAUAAAUAACUGGUUAUUGCGCACAUUGUUUGCAAACAUGCGCGUUGAGUACGCGUCUCAACAAUAACAGAUCCAUUAGAUUUGUGUCGAAGCCUCCAUUAAUGGACUUUGUCCACCUGCAAGGCGGAGGGAGGAGGAGGAGAGAGAGAGAGAGAAAAAAAAAGGGUCGGGGCGUUGUAAACAAGUCGUUAGUCAUAGGUCUCUGGGACCAACAAUGACUCGUUUCGGUUAUUGCUAUUCAGCGGGCAUACGAUCGAGGUUCUUUUUUUUUUUUUUUUUCGUGGUCGAAAAGUCAAGGCUAUUUCUGCGAAACGAAACUGUUCUUGGAAAAAGGAUGACCAACAAAGGGGCCACGGACAAAUGGCACGACCGGGAGAAUUGACCGCAGACGAACGAUUUUUCUUUUCUUUUCUUUUUAAUAAAAUUUUCUACAUAUCGAGUCCACGCAUCUUUGUUUAAAAGCUUGAAAUUCGAGACGAUAAUACGUGCGUAUGAUUUUGUUGGUUAUUGUAUUAAGAUUAAUAUUGAAAAUUGAAAGGAUGAUUGUUCGAGGUAGGAAUAAGAAGGAGAAUGAAAGGCGAGAGAGAAUUUGAACUUUGUUUUUUUUUAUUACCUAUUGGGAAUUAAAAAUUGAAAUGAAAUGUCGCGUGUAAAUGAAUCUGAACGUGAAGUGGCAAGAGAGCAUGGAGUGAAGUGAAUUGUAAAUGAGAAGGAACGAAGAAUAUGUUGCAAUUUUGUUGUAUAUAUAUUUCCUUUUUAAAGGCGCAUAAAUAAUUUUUUUUAAUAUAGUUAAAUUAUAUUAAAUUUUAGCUUGAAAUUAGGAGGAUGUAAAUUUUUUUUUAUUGUACAUAGACAUAAAGUAAAAAUGCAGAUAAAUCUGUAAUCCGUAAUUAUUGUCAGAAUCAAAAAAAGAUGAAGCUUCCUUAAAAAGAAUUAAUAUCACAAUUUUUAAU
rnacentral:lncRNA from 1 species